UACCUGGUUGAUCCUGCCAGUAGUCAUAUGCUUGUCUCAGAGAUUAAGCCAUGCAUGUCUAAGUACAGACCUUCAUACGGUGAAACCGCGAAUGGCUCAUUAAAUCAGCUAUUGUUCCUUAGAUCGUACAUACUACAUGGAUAACUGUAGUAAUUCUAGAGCUAAUACAUGCAACUAUGCCCUGACUUUCGGGAACGGGUGCAUUUAUUAGAACAGAACCAAUACGGCUUCGGUCGUUUAUUCUGUGAUGACUCUGGAUAACUUAACUGAUCGCAGUCGGCCUCGAGUCGGCGACGGAUCUUUCAAAUGGCUGCCCUAUCAAUUUUCGAUGGUAGGUGACCUGCCUACCAUGGUAAUAACGGGUAACGGGGAAUCAGGGUUCGAUUCCGGAGAGGGACCUUGAGAAACGGCUACCACAUCCAAGGAAGGCAGCAGGCGCGUAAAUUACUCAAUCCGGCACGGGGAAGUAGUGACCAAAAAUACGGAGACGGGACUCUUUAUGGGCCUCCGACAUCCGAAUGAGUACACUUUAAAUCCUUUAACGAGGAACAACUGGAGGGCAAGUCUGGUGCCAGCAGCCGCGGUAACUCCAGCUCCAGAAGCGUAUAUUAAAGUUGUUGCAGUUAAAAAGCUCGUAGUUGGAUCUGGGUUGCAUGGCUGCACGCUAUGGUUAGUGUUUGGUGCCUUUGUGGUACCUGGGCUGCCUGGUGUCGCGGUCGUGUGAUCUUUCUGCCGUAUCUGUUUUACAGGUGCCGGUUGCUUGCAAUUGGCAUGCUCUUCGAUGCCUUUAACUGGGUGUCGGGAGCAGACGGCACGUUUACUUUGAACAAAUUUGAGUGCUCAAAGCAGGCCGUAGUGCCUGAAAAGUCUUGCAUGGAAUAAUGGAAUAGGACUUCGGUUCUAUUUUGUUGGUUUUCGGAUCCGAAGUAAUGGUUAAGAGGGACAAACGGGGGCAUUGUAUGGCGGCGUUAGAGGUGAAAUUCUUGGAUCGUCGCCAGACAAACUACAGCGAAAGCAUUUGCCAAGGAUGUUUUCAUUGAUCUGGAGCGAAAGUCAGAGGUUCGAAGACGAUCAGAUACCGUCCUAGUUCUGACCAUAAACGAUGCCAACUGACGAUCCGCGGUGUGCUAUCUUUGGCCCGCGGGCAGUCCCCGGGAAACCCUUAAGUCUUUGGGCUCCGGGGGAAGUAUGGUUGCAAAGCUGAAACUUAAAGGAAUUGACGGAAGGGCACCACCAGGAGUGGCAUGCGGCUUAAUUCGACUCAACACGGGAAAACUCACCCGGCCCGGACACUGUGAGGAUUGACAGAUUGAGAGCUCUUUCAUGAUUCGGUGGUUGGUGGUGCAUGGCCGUUCUUAGUUGGUGGAGCGAUUUGUCUGGUUAAUUCCGAUAACGAACGAGACUUUGGCCUGCUAAAUAGUGGACCCGUCCUCUGUGCUUGUCCUGUUUGAGUAUGCUGCGAUCCUCGUGGGUUGUGGCGGCUCUUUGCAGGCUUGUGCGGUGCGGGUGGUCACUUCUUAGAGGGACAAGUAGCGGGACAGCUACACGAAGUUGAGCAAUAACAGGUCUGUGAUGCCCUCAGAUGUCCGGGGCCGCACGUGCGCUACAAUGACGGUUUCAGUGAGUUUGGACCCUGGCCGAAAGGGUUGGGUAAACUGAGCCAUAACGUCGUGACUGGGAUCGGGGCUUGUAAUUGUUCCCCGUGAACGAGGAAUUCCUGGUAAGUGCAAGUCAUAACGUUGCGCUGAUUACGUCCCUGCCCUUUGUACACACGCCCGUCGCUACUACCGAUUGAAUGGUUUAGCAAGGUCAUCGGAUUGGUGCCAUUGGUGGUUUCGUACUGCCUGUUGGUGUCGAGAAGACGACCGAACUUGCAUCAUUUAGAGGAAGUAAAAGUCGUAACAAGGUUUCCGUAGGUGAACCUGCGGAAGGAUCAUUA
rnacentral:rRNA from 1 species